UCUCAAACCAGAGAGGCGAAAAAGAGAUCCUCUUUACCUUCUCAGUUUCUUCCAUCGAUCUCUCGAUCAAACCUCUUUCUCUUCUCUUCUUUUCUGUUUUAUCUCCUCCUUCUCUUUUAUUAAUAUCUGCUUGUCCUGUGCAAAGCGAGAUAGAGAAAGUAGAAAUUAGGGUUUCAAUCUCUAUUUCGAUGGCGCGCCAGAUCAAUUGACAUCUAGGGUUUGGUUAUUGUGUUUUGUCUGAAUUAGGUUUUGAGAUAUUGGUGACGAGCUGUCCAGAAGAAUUGUGUUUUGGUGAUUUAGAUGCAGUGAGAUUGCGGGUUCUUGGUGCUGGUGUUGGAGAAGGUUUGAACAAGAAAUUGCAGAUGAAUGAGUUGAUGCAACAGAGAAAGAAUGGAGUCACAGAGUACGUGAAUUAUUGAUAGUAUUGGUGGUUUUGUUGGCUGAAAAACUACAGAAGAAGACUAGAUGAAUGUAUUAGGUUUACAGGAAAAUGGUGUGAUGGAGUUGAUGGGUACUGCAAAUGGAUUGCUUACAUGGGUUUCUGUGUUAUUGUAUGCAAGGGAAUGAGAUUGAUGGUGAUUUGUCCUGAGAAGAAAGUAGAAUGGUGUUCUGCAGUGUUGCAAUGGGUUGCAUAUGGAGAAUGCCUCGAGUGUGCUGUUCUGAUGGUGUUCUUCCUCAAUUUCAUCCCCCUGCUGAUCAGAAUGAGGGUUUGCUUUUAAUAGUGAGGGCGGGCGAUUUUCUGGUGGUUUCGAGAUCAGUGUUUUUGGGCUUGUUCAUGAAACUGGGGAUCUAUCUAAGCUCCCUGACGUAUCUGUUGAACUUGUGUGCAACACAAUCGAAGAUUAAAUCUAAUUCAUAAUUAUUUAUUUGACCAAAAACAGGACCCCCUGUUGAUCUUCAUAAGAAACCUUUGUGCUAUUAAAUUGUAUUUUUUGCUGGACCAGAUGCCAAAAAGCCAUCAAUGGAUGCUAUAUAAAGGCUUACACUUGGAGGUGAUUUAGAAUUGACAAUGAUGAGUGAUUUCUACUAAGCAUGGCUGGAUGCCAUGCGCGUAUUGCAACACCCAAAGUUCAGCUUGGCUUGCCAGAGCUUACACUUGGUGUUAUCCCUGGAUUUGGAGGAACUCAACGACUUCCAAGGCUGGUAGGGACACCAAAGGCUAUUGAAAUGAUGUUGGUAAGU